UGGGAUAUAGCCAAGUGGUAAGGCAACGGGUUUUGGCCCUGUCAUUCGGAGGUUCGAAUCCUUCUAUCCCAG
rnacentral:tRNA from 1 species